rnacentral:rRNA from 1 species
GUAGUCAUAUGCUUGUCUCAAAGAUUAAGCCAUGCAUGUCUAAGUAUAAGCAACUUUGUACUGUGAAACUGCGAAUGGCUCAUUAAAUCAGUUAUAGUUUAUUUGAUGGUCCUUACUACAUGGAUAACUGUGGUAAUUCUAGAGCUAAUACAUGCUUAAAAGCCCCGACUUCUGGAAGGGGUGUAUUUAUUAGAUAAAAACCAACCCUUCGGGUCCCUUGGUGAAUCAUAAUAACUUCUCGAAUCGCAUGGCCUUGUGCCGGUGAUGCUUCAUUCAAAUAUCUGCCCUAUCAACUGUCGAUGGUAGGAUAGAGGCCUACCAUGGUUGCAACGGGUAACGGGGAAU